rnacentral:rRNA from 1 species
CGAACGGGUGAGUAACGCGUAGGAAUAUACCUUUUAGUGGGGGACAACUCGGGGAAACUCGGGCUAAUACCGCAUAAGCUCUAUUGAGGAAAGCUGGGGACCUUCGGGCCUGGCGCUAGAAGAUUAGCCUGCGUACGAUUAGCUAGUUGGUGGGGUAAAGGCCCACCAAGGCGACGAUCGUUAGCUGGUCUGAGAGGAUGAUCAGCCACACUGGGACUGAGACACGGCCCAGACUCCUACGGGAGGCAGCAGUGGGGAAUAUUGGACAAUGGGGGAAACCCUGAUCCAGCAAUGCCGCGUGUGUGAAGAAGGCCUGAGGGUUGUAAAGCACUUUCAGUAGUGAGGAAGUUGUGCAAGUUAAUAGCUAGCAUGAUUGACGUUAGCUACAGAAGAAGGACCGGCUAACUCCGUGCCAGCAGCCGCGGUAAUACGGGGGGUCCGAGCGUUAAUCGGAAUUACUGGGCGUAAAGCGCGCGUAGGCGGUUUAAUAAGUUGGCUGUGAAAGCCCCGGGCUCAACCUGGGAUGGUCAGUCAAAACUAUUAGACUAGAGUACAGUAGAGGGGUGUGGAAUUUCCGGUGUAGCGGUGAAAUGCGUAGAGAUCGGAAGGAACACCAGUGGCG